rnacentral:tRNA from 1 species
GGGCUGAUUAGCUCAGCUGGUUCAGAGCAUCCCGGUGUAACCGGGAGGGUCGGCGGUUCGAAUCCGUCAUCGCCCA